UACGAAGGGGGCUAGCGUUGCUCGGAAUCACUGGGCGUAAAGGGUGCGUAGGUGGGCAGGUAAGUCCGUGGUGAAAUCCCUGAGCUUAACUCGGGAACUGCCAUGGAUACUAUUUGUCUUGAAUAUUGUGGAGGUAAGCGGAAUAUGUCAUGUAGCGGUGUAAUGCUUAGAUAUGACAUAGAACACCAAUUGCGAAGGCAGCUUACUACACAGUUAUUGACACUGAGGCACGAAAGCGUGGGGAUCAAACAGG
rnacentral:rRNA from 1 species